UUCUGUGAAGCCGGCCUGUGAGGGAUCCGGUGGAGAGAUCACUAGUGAGAAUGAUGACAUGAGUAGCGACAAAGGGAGUGAGAGACUCCCUCGCCGAAAGUCCAAGGGUUCCUGCUUAAAGCUAAUCUGAGCAGGGUAAGCCGACCCCUAAGGCGAGGCCGAAAGGCGUAGUCGAUGGGAAAUCGGUUAAUAUUCCGAUACUUGUUUAUGAUGCGAUGGAGGGACGGAGAAGGUUAUGCCAGCUUGGCGAUGGUUGUCCAAGUGGAAGGAUGUAGUUAGGUUUAGUAGGCAAAUCCGCUAGACUAUUAAUGAGAUCUGAUAGCAAGCUGUACUUGUACAGCGAAGUGGCAAAUACCCUGCUUCCAGGAAAAGCUUCUAAGCGA
rnacentral:rRNA from 1 species